rnacentral:rRNA from 1 species
AGCAGUGGGGAAUAUUGCACAAUGGACGAAAGUCUGACGGAGCAACGCCGCGUGAGUGAUGAAGGUUUUCGGAUCGUAAAACUCUGUUGUUAGGGAAGAACAAGUACAAGAGUAACUGCUUGUACCUUGACGGUACCUAACCAGAAAGCCACGGCUAACUACGUGCCAGCAGCCGCGGUAAUACGUAGGUGGCAAGCGUUGUCCGGAUUUAUUGGGCGUAAAGCGAGUGCAGGCGGCUCGAUAAGUCUGAUGUGAAAGCCUUCGGCUCAACCGGAGAAUUGCAUCAGAAACUGUCGAGCUUGAGUACAGAAGAGGAGAGUGGAACUCCAUGUGUAGCGGUGAAAUGCGUAGAUAUAUGGA